GACGAACGCUGGCGGCGUGCCUAAUACAUGCAAGUUGAGCGCUGAAGGUUGGUACUUGUACCAACUGGAUGAGCAGCGAACGGGUGAGUAACGCGUGGGGAAUCUGCCUUUGAGCGGGGGACAACAUUUGGAAACGAAUGCUAAUACCGCAUAAAAACUUUAAACACAAGUUUUAAGUUUGAAAGAUGCAAUUGCAUCACUCAAAGAUGAUCCCGCGUUGUAUUAGCUAGUUGGUGAGGUAAAGGCUCACCAAGGCGAUGAUACAUAGCCGACCUGAGAGGGUGAUCGGCCACAUUGGGACUGAGACACGGCCCAAACUCCUACGGGAGGCAGCAGUAGGGAAUCUUCGGCAAUGGACGAAAGUCUGACCGAGCAACGCCGCGUGAGUGAAGAAGGUUUUCGGAUCGUAAAACUCUGUUGGUAGAGAAGAACGUUGGUGAGAGUGUAAAGCCCAUCAAGUGACGGUAACUACCCAGAAAGGGACGGCUAACUACGUG
rnacentral:rRNA from 1 species